rnacentral:rRNA from 1 species
GACGAACGCUGGCGGCGUGCUUAACACAUGCAAGUCGAGCGGUAAGGCCCUUUCGGGGGUACGACGAGCGGCGAACGGGUGAGUAACACGUGGGUGGACCUGCCCUCAGCUCUGGGAGUAAGCCUGGGAAACCGGGGUCUAAUACUGGAUAUGACUCCAUGACGCAUGUUGUGGGGUGGAAAGCCUUGUGCGGCUGAGGAUGGGCCCGCGGCCUAUCAGCUUGUU